rnacentral:rRNA from 1 species
GAUGAACGCNGGCGGCGUGCCUAACACAUGCAAGUCGAACGGAGUCCAGCCUUUAAGACCUUCGGGUCAAAGAGGGGAAGACUGAGUGGCGGACGGGUGAGUAACACGUGGGCAACCUGGCUCAUAGAGGGGGAUAACAGAGAGAAAUUUCUGCUAAUACCGCAUAAGCACACACUGCUGCAUGGCAGAGGGUGAAAAGAGAAUCGCUAUGAGAUGGACCCGCGUCUGAUUAGCCAGUUGGCAGGGUAAGAGCCUACCAAAGCGACGAUCAGUAGCCGAUCUGAGAGGAUGAACGGCCACAUUGGGACUGAGACACGGCCCAAACUCCUACGGGAGGCAGCAGUGGGGGAUAUUGCACAAUGGGGGGAACCCUGAUGCAGCGACGCCGCGUGAGUGAAGAAGUAUUUCGGUAUGUAAAGCUCUNUCAGCAGGGAAGAUAA